rnacentral:rRNA from 1 species
AAUAUUGGACAAUGGGCGCAAGCCUGAUCCAGCAAUGCCGCGUGGGUGAAGAAGGUCUUCGGAUUGUAAAGCCCUUUCGGCGGGGACGAUGAUGACGGUACCCGCAGAAGAAGCCCCGGCUAACUUCGUGCCAGCAGCCGCGGUAAUACGAAGGGGGCUGGCGUUGCUCGGAAUCACUGGGCGUAAAGGGCGCGUAGGCGGCGUGAUUAGUCAGGCGUGAAAGCCCUGGGCUCAACCUGGGGACUGCGCUUGAGACGGUCAUGCUUGAGGGCGGAAGAGGCUCGCGGAAUUCCCAGUGUAGAGGUGAAAUUCGUAGAUAUUGGGAAGAACACCGGUGGCGAAGGCGGCGAGCUGGUCCGUACCUGACGCUGAGGCGCGACAGCGUGGGGAGCAAACAGG